rnacentral:rRNA from 1 species
CAGCAGGCGCGAAAACUUUACAAUGCGGGAAACCGUGAUAAGGGGACACCGAGUGCCAGCAUCAUAUGCUGGCUGUCCAGGUGUGUAAAAUACACCUGUCAGCAAGGGCCGGGCAAGACCGGUGCCAGCCGCCGCGGUAACACCGGCGGCCCGAGUGGUGAUCGUGAUUAUUGGGUCUAAAGGGUCCGUAGCCGGUUUGGUCAGUCCUCCGGGAAAUCUGACGGCUCAACCGUUAGGCUUUCGGGGGAUACUGCCAGGCUUGGAACCGGGAGAGGUAAGAGGUACUACAGGGGUAGGAGUGAAAUCUUGUAAUCCCUGUGAGACCACCUGUGGCGAAGGCGUCUUACCAGAACGGGUUCGACGGUGAGGGACGAAAGCUGGGGGCACGAACCGGAUUAGAUACCCGGGUAGUCCCAGCCGUAAACGAUGCUCGCUAGGUGUCAGGCAUGGCGCGACCGUGUCUGGUGCCGCAGGGAAGCCGUGAAGCGAGCCACCUGGGAAGUACGGCCGCAAGGCUGAAACUUAAAGGAAUUGGCGGGGGAGCACAAGGGCGAAUNG